UACAGAGGGUGCAAGCGUUGUUCGGAAUUAUUGGGCGUAAAGAGCUCGUAGGCGGUUUGUUGCGUCGGCUGUGAAAUCCCGAGGCUCAACCUCGGGUCUGCAGUCGAUACGAGCAAACUAGAGUGUUGCAGGGGAGACUGGAAUUCCUGGUGUAGCAGUGAAAUGCGCAGAUAUCAGGAGGAACACCGGUGGCGAAGGCGGGUCUCUGGGCAACAACUGACGCUGAGGAGCGAAAGCGUGGGGAGCGAACAGG
rnacentral:rRNA from 1 species